AUAAUUUCCCUCUAGAUCUAGCUGCUGUUGAAGCUCCAUCUAUAAAUGGAUAAGAUUUAGGUCUUAGUGUAUACGAGUGUUUGAAUGUAAAGGAGCAAUAACCAAUUUCCCCUUCUAUCAAUAUCAAGGGUAUGGUAUUGCUCCUUUAUUUAGUAGUCUUUUACUUUUCUAAGUUUUUUUAUUUGCUUAUUUCAACUAAAAAAACAAUAGUACUAAAAAGUAUUUUCAUAGGUUGGUUUAUGAUUGAGUAUAAUACUUCGGUUUUGUUGUUUAAUACCUUAAUCUUAAAGUAAGAUAAUAAAAAAACAUGCUGAAUGGUGGAAAUUUUGUCUUUUUCAAUUUCUUAUUUCUUGUAAUGUGAGAGGGGCGGAUGUAGCCAAGUGGAUCAAGGCAUU
rnacentral:misc_RNA from 1 species